CCGUUGUUAGAUGAGUCCUUUGAAUGUGCUUGGUUAACUACAAACUUGAUCCUCCUCCUUGUUUAUCCACAAGACCUGUGACUAAUGUUUGACCUUCAUCAGUUCCUCUGUUGGCUAUUGUUUCUAUCUAAUAAAAGUGAGACUGUGGAAUAGCUCGGGGCAGUAGUCCUUUGGACUGCUGUCCUUUGCUCUCUUUUCCUUGCAGCUGACUUGUUUGUGCCUAAUUCUUUUCCUGCUCACUGACUGGAGGCGGCAAGUGGUCCCCGAACAGAGGGACCAGACCAGAAACAAAACAGGAGAAGAAACCCCAUCAUGAGUUUUGCACGGCCGUGUCUUUUUCCCCCUGUCCUCAGAAGCACGUGAAAAUCUUGACUGAAGAAUCAAGAAGCUGCAAAGUAAGUUUUCUACUGCUUCACAAACAAAAAGAGGGAGAUGCUACUGCCCCUCAGAACAAUGC
rnacentral:lncRNA from 1 species